GACGAACGCUGGCGGCGUGCUUAACACAUGCAAGUCGAACGGAAAGGCCCUGCUUUUGUGGGGUGCUCGAGUGGCGAACGGGUGAGUAACACGUGAGUAACCUGCCCUUGACUUUGGGAUAACUUCAGGAAACUGGGGCUAAUACCGGAUAGGAGCUCCUGCUGCAUGGUGGGGGUUGGAAAGUUUCGGCGGUUGGGGAUGGACUCGCGGCUUAUCAGCUUGUUGGUGGGGUAGUGGCUUACCAAGGCUUUGACGGGUAGCCGGCCUGAGAGGGUGACCGGCCACAUUGGGACUGAGGUACGGCCCAGACGCCUACGGGAGGCAGCAGUGGGGAAUAUUGCACAAUGGGCGGAAGCCUGAUGCAGCAACGCCGCGUGCGGGAUGACGGCCUGCGGGUUGUAAACCGCUUUCGCCUGUGACGAAGCGUUAGUGACGGUAAUGGGUAAAGAAGCACCGGCUAACUACGUG
rnacentral:rRNA from 1 species